UACGUAGGGCGCGAGCGUUGUCCGGAAUUAUUGGGCGUAAAGAGCUCGUAGGCGGCUUGUCACGUCGGGUGUGAAAGACCGGGGCUUAACUCCGGUUCUGCAUUCGAUACGGGCUAGCUAGAGUGUGGUAGGGGAGAUCGGAAUUCCUGGUGUAGCGGUGAAAUGCGCAGAUAUCAGGAGGAACACCGGUGGCGAAGGCGGAUCUCUGGGCCAUUACUGACGCUCAUGCACGAAAGCGUGGGGAGCAAACAGG
rnacentral:rRNA from 1 species